GUGUGUUUGCUCUCUCUCUCUCUCUCUCUCUCUCUCUCUCUCUCUGUGUGUGUGUGUGUGUGUGAGAGAGAGAGAGAGAGAGAGAGAGCGCGAUUUGGAUCAG